UACGGGGGGAGCAAGCGUUGUUCGGAUUUACUGGGCGUAAAGGGCGCGUAGGCGGCCACCGCAAGUCGACUGUGAAAUCUCCGGGCUUAACCCGGAAAGGUCAGCCGAUACUGCGGGGCUAGAGUGCAGAAGGGGCUACUGGAAUUCUCGGUGUAGCGGUGAAAUGCGUAGAUAUCGAGAGGAACACCUGCGGCGAAGGCGGGUAGCUGGGCCGACACUGACGCUGAGGCGCGAAAGCCAGGGGAGCGAACGGG
rnacentral:rRNA from 1 species